CAGUGAUAACGCUGAACUUAUUUUACAGAGGAAACAUAAACCUGUGUCUCGCUAAUGGGAGGAAUACUAUCAUUGUUUAUUAUGGUUUUCCGUCUUUAUAUUCGCUUAUGGGUGUUGAGGGAAUCGCCGAAGGGAGGACAAAUUGACGCAAAUAUUUCGAUGUUUCCAAACGACAGUAACAAUCGCUAUAAGUAGUAAAACGUUGAUUUCCCUUCCCAGCUGGUCCUCGUUGCCGUCGUUGCGGUCACAGUCGCCGCCCGCCCCUCCGACCCCUACGGACCGCCCCCUCCUGCUUACCCUGAUACCCCAGCCGAGUACCAGUUCAGUUAUGGAGUGAAGGACGACUACUCCAAGAACGACUACGGGCACUCGGAAGACCGCAGCGGCUACAACACCCAGGGACAAUAUCAGGUCCUGUUACCCGACGGCCGCGUGCAGACGGUGGAGUACUCGGUCACAAAGGACGGAGGUUUCGUCGCUAAUGUCGUGGCCAAGGGAGUCAGUGCCUACAGUUAAAUGUUCUCUGGUCCUAUAGUGUACAUGUGAAUGUGUUUUUGUUUUUUUUACUGUGUAUGUAAAUAAAUGUGAUUUAUAAA